UACGAAGGGUGCAAGCGUUACUCGGAAUUACUGGGCGUAAAGCGCGUGCAGGCGGCCUUGCAAGUCGGACGUGAAAUCCCACGGCUCAACCGUGGAAGUGCAUUCGAAACUGCGAGGCUGGAGUCCUGGAGAGGAAAGUGGAAUACUCGGUGUAGAGGUGAAAUUCGUAGAUAUCGGAAGGAACAUCAGUGGCGAAAGCGACUUCCUGGACCAAUACUGACGCUCAUGUGCGAAAGCGUGGGGAGCAAACAGG
rnacentral:rRNA from 1 species